AUGGAUCAUGGCCGUCCAGCUGAUGGGCCUGAGAACCUGGAAUUCAGCUCCUUCCUGUUCUGGAGAAACCAUCUGCCUAACACUGAUCGUGACCUGCAGGAUUACCUGAUUGACAGAAGGGGAAAAGAGGAAGAGGAGAAUGAAUUUGAAGGCAGUGAUGACCCCCAGCAACAUCAAGCAGAUCCAGCAGGAGUUGGGGCAGUGUGACAUCCCAAAGGACGUAUGGGUUGGGUGUGUGACCACAGACUUAGCCAUGCAGAAUGUUCUGCUUCAGAUGGGGCUGCACGUGCUGGCAGAAAAUGGUGUGCUGAUCCUAGAGGCCCGGAGCUACAUCUUACACUGUCAUGGCUGCUUCAAGACAAUGUUGGACAUGAAUUGAGUGUUCUGUGGGCAUUGUGGGAACAAGACCCUGAGGAAAGUGUCAGUGAUUGUCAAUGAUGAUGGUACCUUGCAUAUGCAUUUCUCCUGAAACCCCAAGGUGCUGAACCCUCGAGGCCUCCAGUAUCCACUGCCCACUCCCAAAGGAGGUAAAUAUGCCAUCAACCCACCUCUGACUGAAGAUCAGCGCUUCCUCAGCUGUGACUCUCCUACAGAAGACCAACGUGUUUGCCCCUGACUACAUAGCUGGGGUGUCUCCUUUUGCAGAAAAUGACAUCUCCAGCCGCUCAGUCACCCUGCAGGUCCAGGAUGGCACCUUAAGGCUGAGAUGCUUAAAUUCCGGUGCUUCCAGAAAGAUGUUUGUAAAGAAAAGGUGA